rnacentral:rRNA from 1 species
GAUGAACGCUAGCGGCAGGCCUAACACAUGCAAGUCGAGGGGUAGAGUUCUUCGGGACUUGAGACCGGCGCACGGGUGCGUAACGCGUAUGCAAUCUACCUUAUACAGGGGAAUAGCCCCAGAGAAAUUUGGAUUAAUGCCCCAUAGUGUUAUCGAAUCGCAUGGUUUGAUAACUAAAGUUCCAACGGUAUAAGAUGAGCAUGCGUCCCAUUAGUUAGUUGGUAAGGUAACGGCUUACCAAGACAAUGAUGGGUAGGGGUCCUGAGAGGGAGAUCCCCCACACUGGUACUGAGACACGGACCAGACUCCUACGGGAGGCAGCAGUGAGGAAUAUUGGUCAAUGGGCGAAAGCCUGAUCCAGCAAUGCCGCGUGAGUGAUGAAGGCCUUUAGGGUUGUAAAGCUCUUUUACCCGAGAUGAUAAUGACAGUAUCGGGAGAAUAAGCUCCGGCUAACUCCGUGCCAGCAGCCGCGGUAAUGUAGACGUCU